rnacentral:lncRNA from 1 species
UGCAGAUCUUAAACUGACUAAUAUUCAGCUUUUCUUGCAGCCGAUGGAGCAGGAUUCGUUCUUCAAAAUAAUUCAUCUGGUUCCCUAGACCUAAUCAGGUUCUUGGGGUUGUAGUGCCCAAGAAAUUGCUGCCUGUAAUAGCUGAAACAUGGGAGAAAGCUG